rnacentral:rRNA from 1 species
UACAGAGGGGGCAAGCGUUAUUCGGAAUUAUUGGGCGUAAAGGGCGCGUAGGCGGCCUUUCAAGUGACGGGUGAAAGCCCUCGGCUUAACCGAGGAACUGCCUGUCAGACUGGAAGGCUUGAGACCGGGAGAGGUGAGUGGAAUUCCCAGUGUAGCGGUGAAAUGCGUAGAUAUUGGGAGGAACACCAGUGGCGAAGGCGGCUCACUGGACCGGUACUGACGCUGAGGCGCGAAAGCGUGGGGGAGCAAACAGG